rnacentral:lncRNA from 1 species
GAAAGGGUAAAGAGGGAAUGGGAUGAAGAAAGAUUUCUGGAUGUGGGGCCACCUCACAGGUGGAGGGAAGUCUCUGCGCUCAGCAUCAUUGCUGCAAGUGAUGAAACCAAGCCUCAGGUGUGUUGAGGCAGUGGCAGAGGUACGUGGGGUUGUUGGGGCAAGAGCUGGACCUGGGGCUAAAGGCUGGAGCAAGAGGCAAGGACUGGACCUGGAGACACAGCUGGACCAGAGCACCUGGGGCCAGGGAUGGACUGCGGAGCCAAGGCAGAGGUUUCCAGGAGCUGCGGGGAGACAUUGGCCCCUGAGAGAGG